rnacentral:rRNA from 1 species
UGCAAAGUCGAGCGGACAGAUGGGAGCUUGCUCCCUGAUGUUAGCGGCGGACGGGUGAKUAACACGUGGGUAACCUGCCUGUAAGACUGGGAUAACUCCGGGAAACCGGGGCUAAUACCGGAUGCUUGAUUGAACCGCAUGGUUCAAUUAUAAAAGGUGGCUUUUAGCUACCACUUACAGAUGGACCCGCGGCGCAUUAGCUAGUUGGUGAGGUAACGGCUCACCAAGGCRACGAUGCGUAGCCGACCUGAGAGGGUGAUCGGCCACACUGGGACUGAGACACGGCCCAGACUCCUACGGGAGGCAGCAGUAGGGAAUCUUCCGCAAUGGACGAAAGUCUGACGGAGCAACGCCGCGUGAGUGAUGAAGGUUUUCGGAUCGUAAAACUCUGUUGUUAGGGAAGAACAAGUACCGUUCGAAUAGGGCGGUACCUUGACGGUACCUAACCAGAAAGCCACGGCUAACUACGUGCCAGCAGCCGCGGUAAUACGUAGGUGGCAAGCGUUGUCCGGAAUUAUUGGGCGUAAAGCGCGCGCAGGCGGUUUCUUAAGUCUGAUGUGAAAGCCCCCGGCUCAACCGGGGAGGGUCAUUGGAAACUGGGGAACUUGAGUGCAGAAGAGGAGAGUGGAAUUCCACGUGUAGCGGUGAAAUGCGUAGAGAUGUGGAGGAACACCAGUGGCGAAGGCGACUCUCUGGUCUGUAACUGACGCUGAGGCGCGAAAGCGUGGGGAGCGAACAGGAUUAGAUACCCUGGUAGUCCACGCCGUAAACGAUGAGUGCUAAGUGUUAGAGGGUUUCCGCCCUUUAGUGCUGCAGCAAACGCAUUAAGCACUCCGCCUGGGGAGUACGGUCGCAAGACUG